ensembl:misc_RNA Metazoa_SRP Metazoan signal recognition particle RNA
UCCAGGCUCAGUGGCACGUGCCUGUCAUCCCAGCUACUCGAGAGGCUGAGGCUGGAGGAUCGCUUGAGUUCAGGAGUUCUGGGCUGUAGAGCGCUAUGCCGAUCGGGUGUCCGCACUAAGUUCGGCAUCAAUACACUGACCUCCUGGGAGCGGGGGACCACCAGUUUGCCUAAGGAGGGGUGAACCGGCCCAGGUUGGAAAUGGAAUGACUCAAAAUUCCCAUGCUGAUCAGUAAGCGGAUCGCACCUGUGAAUAGCCACUGUACUCCAGCCUGGGCAACAUAGCAAGACCCCAUCUCUU